CUUAGGAUUGUCAAAGGACAGUGGUAGGGGAGCGUCGUGUACGGGGUGAAGUCUGAGCGGAAGCACAGGUGGACUGUACAGGAGUGAGAAUGCCGGAAUGAGUAGCGAGAAUUAUGUGGGAAUCAUAAUGGCCGAAAAUCUAAGGUUUCUUGGGGAAGGCUCGUCCGCCCAAGGUAAGCCGGGAGCUAAGGCGAGGCCGCGAGGCGUAGUCGAUGCACAUACGGUAGAAAUUCCGUAGCCACCGAACCUUAAACCGGAAGGACACUUGCAGAUAGCGGAACCCAGCCGUUGGUUGAGCUGGGCGUAAGGGACUGAAAUAUAGUAGGGAAGUCCGCGAUGCUGUGAGGCGAGAAAAGCUCCGGUGUAUGCUAAGGUGCCCGUACCGCAAACCGACACAGGUAGAUGAGGAGAGAAUCCUAAGGCCAACGGGAGAAGGGUUGUUAAGGAACUCGGCAAAUUGACCCCGUAACUUCGGAAGAAGGGGAGCCUCGAAAGAGGCCGCAGUGAAUAGGCCCAAGCAACUGUUUACCAAAAACACAGGUCUAUGCUAAAUCGAAAGAUGACGUAUAUGGGCUGACGCCUGCCCGGUGCCGGAAGGUUAAGAGGAGGGCUUAGGGAAACCGAAGGUCUGAAUUGAAGCCCCGGUAAACGGCGGCCGUAACUAUAACGGUCCUAAGGUAGCGAAAUUCCCUGUCAGGUAAGUUCUGACCCGCACGAAUGGCGUAUGAUUUGGGCACUGUCUCGACAGCCCGCCCGGCGAAAUUGUAGUACUGGUGAAGAUGCCAGUUACCCGCAACUAGACGGAAAGACCCCAUGGAGCUUUACUGCAGUUUAAUACUGGGAAUCGGUAAUUCAUGUACAGGAUAGGUGGGAGACUGAGAAGCAUGGCCGUCAGGUCGUGUGGAGUCACCGGUGGGAUACCACUCUUGGAUUGCUGGCUUCCUAACCUGCGGCCCUGAAUCGGGUCGGGGGACACUGUUAGACGGGCAGUUUGACUGGGGCGGUCGCCUCCAAAAGAGUAACGGAGGCGCUCAAAGGUUCGUUCAGCACGGACGGAAAUCGUGCAUCGAGUGUAAACGCAUAAACGAGCCUAACUGCGAGACCGACGGGUCGAGCAGUAACGAAAGUUGGAGUUAGUGAUCCGGUGGUAUGUGAGUGGAAAUGCCAUCGCUCAACGGAUAAAAGCUACCCUGGGAUAACAGGCUGAUCUCCCCCAAGCGUCCACAGCGACGGGGAGGUUUGGCACCUCGAUGUCGGCUCGUCGCAUCCUGGGGCUGUAUUCGGUCCCAAGGGUUUGGCUGUUCGCCAAUUAAAGCGGCACGCGAGCUGGGUUCAGAACGUCGUGAGACAGUUCGGUCCCUAUCUGUUGCGGGCGUAAGAGAUUUGAAGGGAGCUGUCCUUAGUACGAGAGGACCGGGAUGGACGUACCUCUGGUGCACCAGUUGUCCUGCCAAGGGCAUAGCUGGGUAGCUAUGUACGGACGAGAUAAACGCUGAAAGCAUCUAAGCGUGAAACUCUCCCUAAGAUGAGAUCUCUCAUCCUUUAUGGAGUAAGGGCCCAGAAAGACGAUCUGGUUGAUAGGCCGGAGGUGGAAGUGCAGUAAUGCAUGUAGCUGACCGGUACUAAUAGCCCGAGGGCUUGAUC
rnacentral:rRNA from 1 species